AUAGUUUUUUAGGUGACAGACAUUAUCCCCUAACCUUUUAUUCUUAUUUCUUGCCAACAAUGCUUUAUUAUGCAGCGAGAGAGAGAGAUAAGCUAGCAGACAUGCCAUUAUCCAAGGAUGGAAUUUCAUCAUAAAAUCAAUCCUUAUCUUAAAAUUCAUCCAAUUACUUGAAAUUCGUAAAAUUAUUAUUAUACUAUUCCAUUUGGCUUCACUAUUCAUGUGGGAUUGCGAUAACAUUUUUCCAUGGUUUACAAGAGAUUUAUACUGAUAAAAGGUAAAUGAGCUGUUGUUCGCUUCUCAGGGUUGAAGAUUGAGAUUUCCCCACCUCGAAGUUUUUCACUCACUGUGAUAUCAGGGGUUGUAGCUUUUGUUCUCUUCAUCUGUAUGUGUCCUAUCUAUGGCUGAGCAGAGCAUCAGUCUGGCAGUGAUCCCCAACAAUUGCUGAGGCUGCUGGAGGAGAUAAGAAAGAAAAUCAGGUCAUGAUUUGUAAAUAUGAAAAGCAACAUACAUUCGAGAAGAACGCAAGGUGUCCAUUUCCAAUAAGGAUAAUAAAGAAACCACCAGAUGACCAAAGUUUGGCAAUCUCCGUAUUGGAGGUAAGCUUUACGUGAAUAAAUUCAACAGAGAAAAGACAUUUAAAAGAGAAGUUACUAUUACAAGUGAUUCGCACCGUUUUACUUUACUUAAGUUCUACUUUACUUAAUACGCACCGUUUCUAAUAUUUGUAAUGUAGAAGGCACGAGACCCUACUCUCGUUUUUCUCUUGAUGCCUAUAUACAAAGGCAGUUGUAACAGAAUAUGAUUAUCGAAAGAAAGGAAAUAUUAUUCUGUCCUCCCUCUCUGCA